rnacentral:rRNA from 1 species
UACAGAGGAUGCAAGCGUUAUCCGGAAUUAUUGGGCGUAAAGCGUCUGUAGGUGGCUUUUUAAGUCCGCCGUCAAAUCCCAGGGCUCAACUCUGGACAGGCGGUGGAAACUACCAAGCUGGAGUACGGUAGGGGCAGAGGGAAUUUCCGGUGGAGCGGUGAAAUGCGUAGAGAUCGGAAAGAACACCCGUGGCGAAGGCGAUCACCUGGGGUUGUUCUGACGCUGAGGAGCGAAAGCUAGGGGAGCAAACGGG